GAGAGCAUAGCUCAGUGGUAGAGCGCAUGCUUAGCACGCAUGAGGUCCUGCGUUCAAUCCCCAGUAAUACCA
rnacentral:tRNA from 1 species